GAUUAGUACAAAAUUAGUCCUUUUGAACCAACUCAACAAAACAAGCCUAAAUCUCACAGGGUGACAAUUUAGAAAGGAGGCCCAAAAAAGCUAGCUCUAUAUUACGAUCGACCCAAGGCCCACAAACUCAUAGCUACAAGAGGCAGCUGAACCAUCGUCACUAGCCUUCCAUUCCAUCGUUGCCUGGAAAAGAACUACAACUAGUUACACGGGAAAAACAGACCAACAACUCUCAAACCCAAGAAACCACCUUCCAGAGAGCCUUUAGUAGACGAGAAACAACCAAAUCCGGCAAUCAGCAAGGAUAGUCAACGGGCAGAGUUCAUAUGGCUUAUGCGCCUUAAAGGAUCAGGUGGCUAACCGAGCGAGCCGGUUAUAGGACCCUUUAACAUUUUUGUCCUUACAACAUCAAGGUACCUUCCCGUGGCUUAAACCAAAAAGCAAACACCAAGUUGAUGCAUAGGUCCUUUGGACAAACAACAAUAACAUCACAGAGUAACAGAAAGAUCCUUCACCUGGUCAACACUCCACCUGUGAGAAUCGCAAAAGAAACACAACGAAAACUGUAUACAUACCCUACCUGAUGGUGGCGAGGAUAAAUCCACUUUUGGACAAUGGAAGGAGUGUUGUCCCUUACCUGAAGGGAUAUGAGACAAUUGUUGGAACAACAAAAAGAGAGAUACGAAGUCUCUAGAAACAUGAGAAAAUUAAGAGAAUU
rnacentral:misc_RNA from 1 species